rnacentral:rRNA from 1 species
UGGGGAAUUUUGGACAAUGGGCGCAAGCCUGAUGCAGCCAUGCCGCGUGUGUGAAGAAGGCCUUCGGGUUGUAAAGCACUUUCAGCGAGGAGGAAGGUGGUGAGCUUAAUACGCUCAUCAAUUGACGUUACUCGCAGAAGAAGCACCGGCUAACUCCGUGCCAGCAGCCGCGGUAAUACGGAGGGUGCAAGCGUUAAUCGGAAUUACUGGGCGUAAAGCGCACGCAGGCGGUUUGUUAAGUCAGAUGUGAAAUCCCCGGGCUCAACCUGGGAACUGCAUUUGAAACUGGCAAGCUAGAGUCUCGUAGAGGGGGGUAGAAUUCCAGGUGUAGCGGUGAAAUGCGUAGAGAUCUGGAGGAAUACCGGUGGCGAAGGCGGCCCCCCUGGACGAAGACUGACGCUCAGGUGCGAAAGCGUGGGGCAGCAAACAGGAUUAGAUACCCUGGUAGUCCAGCGCUGUAAACGAUGUCGAUUUGGAGGUUGUGCCCCUUGAGGCGU